GACGAACGCUGGCGGCGUGCUUAACACAUGCAAGUCGAGCGGUAAGGCCCUUUCGGGGGUACACGAGCGGCGAACGGGUGAGUAACACGCGGGUGACCUGCCCUGCACUCUGGGAUAAGCCUGGGAAACUGGGUCUAAUACCGGAUAUUCACAUGGUCCUGCAUGGGGUUGUGUGGAAAGUUUUUUCGGUGUGGGAUGGGCCCGCGGCCUAUCAGCUUGUUGGUGGGGUGAUGGCCUACCAAGGCGA
rnacentral:rRNA from 1 species